rnacentral:tRNA from 1 species
GGUUCCGUAGUGUAGUGUGGUUAUCACGUUCGCUUCACACGCGAGCGUCUCCUGGUUCGAUCCCGACGGAACCG